CCUACGGGAGGCAGCAGUGAGGAAUCUUGGGCAAUGGACGAGAGUCUGAACCAGCAAAGUAGCGUGAAGGAUGACUGCCCUAUGGGUUGUAAACUUCUUUUAUACAGGAAUAAAACGAGGCACGUGUGCCUUUUUGCAUGUACUUUAUGAAUAAGGAUCGGCUAACUCCGUGCCAGCCGCCGCGGUAAUCAGGAGGAUCCGAGCGUUAUCCGGAUUUAUUGGGUUUAAAGGGAGCGUAGAUGGGUUGUUAAGUCAGUUGUGAAAGUUUGCGGCUCAACCGUAAAAUUGCAAUUGAUACUGGCAGUCUUGAGUACAGGUGAGGAAGGUGGAAUUCGUGGUGUAGCGGUGAAAUGCUUAGAUAUCACGAAGAACCCCGAUUGCGAAGGCAGCUUACUAAACUGUGACUGACACUGAUGCUCGAAAGUGUGGGUAUCAAACAGGAUUAGAUACCCCAGUAGUC
rnacentral:rRNA from 1 species